rnacentral:rRNA from 1 species
GACGAACGCUGGCGGCGUGCCUAAUACAUGCAAGUCGAGCGAGACUCUUCGGAGUCUAGCGGCGGACGGGUGAGUAACACGUGGGCAACCUGCCUGUAAGACUGGGAUAACACCGGGACACCGGUGCUAAUACCGGAUAAUCCUUUUCCUCUCAUGAGGAAAAGCUGAAAGUCGGUUUCGGCUGAUACUUACAGAUGGGCCCGCGGCGCAUUAGGUAGUUGGUGAGGUAACGGCUCACCAAGGCGACGAUGCGUAGCCGACCUGAGAGGGUGAUCGGCCACACUGGGACUGAGACACGGCCCAGACUCCUACGGGAGGCAGCAGUAGGGAAUCUUCCACAAUGGACGAAAGUCUGAUGGAGCAACGCCGCGUGAGCGAUGAAGGCCUUCGGGUCGUAAAGCUCUGUUGUUAGGGAAGAACAAGUACCGGAGUAACUGCCGGUACCUUGACGGUACCUAACCAGAAAGCCACGGCUAACUACGUGCCAGCCGCCGCCGUAAAAC